GUUUUGCGCCAAUAAAAAUCCUGCAAAGGGUGAAACACAGCUCUAAAAGGAGCGUUGGCCAAGGAUUCUGAGGACCCGUACAAAGGUUUAAGGAAGGCGAUGACCAAUGUAAAAAGCAAAUUAACGUAAAAUAAAAUUAGGCUUACUAACAAUAAUUGUCCUUUAACAGAAAACCUAAAUAACACUAUUUAGUUAAAACAAAUUUAAAAGUAAUUAAAAAUGUAUGUAUUUUAAAUUAUUUUUCAUAAGUGAAAACUCAUUGAAAAAUUCUGAUUUUCACAAGUGAUUUGGGUGAUUUUGGGACGUGUCACAGGCAUGUGACAGGCAAUACGAAAAAUGAGUAAGGAACAAGUGAAAUCCCGUGGGACUUCAAAAAAUUUUCAUUUGAAUUUUCACUUGUGAAAAUGCGGAUUUCAAUUGGAGUCAUUUGGAACAUUUUUUGAGGGACACUAGAGUGUACAGGGAGCCCAAAUUAUUCUAGAAAAUGCGGUUUUAAAGCUGAACUUUUUUGGCUGUAAUCUAGUGUUAUCAGACAACAUUAGACUGUUGGAAAUAGCUUUACAUUAUGGUUUGGCAGUUUAUUCUCAGUCUAAUACGGAUUCCGAACACCGGAACAACAUGGGCAACUGCGUCCUCUAUUUAAAGAAAAUAAGUAUAUUGCUAUACCUAUGACAACGGACAAGCUAAACGUCAGAAGCCAUUACAAGAAUAUAGGCAACAUGCGUUAAAACUGUCGCAUCUCUCGCCAGACGUGGCCCUAAAAUAUGUUUCUGAAAAAGCUGCAGGGAUAAGGAAGAAACAGAAAGGCCUGUGCAGCCUCAGACAGAAGCAUUUACUUAAACAAAUUUAAAGAGAUUUAUUAAAUCUUUCGGGUGUGAGCUAUGUUAACCAACCGAUUGAAAGGUGGGUACUGAGAACGGGAAACUCAAAAAUUAGAUCUUUCGGUAUCACAAUGUACCUACAGAGGUCUAUGAGUAUCAGGCUACGGUCUGACAGCCAUCCAAAUAUUAACAUAAAAACCUUGGUAGAGAAUGCUAAAACCGUUACACAAGGUAAAAAAGAAAAAGCUUUGGCAAUUUUUAUAAACAGUAUAAUCACACUAGAGCCUUCGAACGAUUUUUGUCAUAUACUAUAAUUCAAUUACUGAAUCAUCGACAUCAAUAAGUAUUUGUUAAUUGCAAGCACUUUCGAUUAUAUAGGAAACAUACAAACAAUCACUUUCUUCUCCUGAUGCGUCUAAUGCCCUUGUAAAAUUACUUAGCCAACUGGAAGGUCAGGGUCGAACAACGUUGAAAAAGAAUCAAAUUCGUUAAAGAUAAUUCCUCAGUUUCUAAACCAUGGAUUUAUCUCAGGAAACAAUUGUGAAAGAUUGUCCUUCAUUUUAUUUCAUUUAGCUUUGCCAUAUUUGCUAUCUCUUCCAAUGAUCGCAGAGAGUGGUUUUCCUUCCAAAUAUUCUCUGGGGACAUCGUCUUAUCUAAAACAUGGUUAUUUGAUAUUGUAUUAUGGUUAAUUUUGGCCUUGCAAAACGCAAUGGUCAUGCAGGACAGCGAAUGCAUUGUUAUUGCCAAUAGAACUGGUAACCUAUACUUGUUUCAAAGCAUAAACAGCAAGUGUUUUUCUGGGAACGAACAAUGGUUUUUAAACGCCUUAACAGCAUUUCAUCGCAUUUUCCUCUUGAAGUGCGGGAAUAAAAAGAAAUCGGCCUUGACAGGGCUCUACGGGGAUGACCCAUAAAUUCGACGAUCUCAUAAACGUCUUUUGAAACACCGUGAUUGUAUUUUUUUCAAAAUUUCUUUGUACCAAUCAUCCACACGAGCCUUUUUUUGAGCGAUUUUCAAAGUGUGCGGGAUCCAAAGAAAAACCAAUCUUUUUUACAGCCAAGCAAAGGCCAAGGAUGCCUCUAUCUCACGGUAUGUCACUUGACGAUCUUGCAUUAUAAAGAUUUAAGUUCAUCGAUGCACUCUUGUCGAGAUAAUUCACGUCGAAAGACACGAGUUAAUUACAUUUUUCUGCCGAAGUAAAUUUUUAAUUAAUCGUUAAUCGAUAUCAAACGUGUUCACGUGAAUAAGGUAUAUGGAGCUUUAAUCGAUAAAAGUCCGAACUUUAUUUAAGGGAAAAUGCCAAUUGGACCUAGUAUGGCUAGAAGUGACCUAGGGCAGAAACUUAAAUAGCAGCCCUCGUAUAACUCAUAUGAAGGAUUUUGGUUCUAUUGCAGUUGCUCUGUACAAAGGUUCAUGAAAAGGAAGCAAGUUUCAAUGAAAAGGCAAGGAUUAUACUAUGGUUGGAUAUACGGUGGCUGCCGAAGGAUAUCGUCUGUACGAUUCAACUACUCGACUUGUAGUCGAAAAAAAUCCUAUUUAAUGAAAAUCAUGAUGCAGUAGAUGACGUAAAGCAAGUUUCGAUUUAAUAUAAACUGGUGGAGAUUAUAGCUCUUGUGAGAGUUCCGAUCAGCUCGAGAGUGCAUCAGAAACUGAAAAAGAAAAGGAUAAGGACAACAAGGAUGAGGAUACAAAGAUUGUGGAAAGAAAAGAUGGGAAAGAUGACAACAAGGAUGUACGUGUAGGGCAUGGUCGACCACAGCACAAUCGGUCUGACCUAGAAAUCGACGUGUGAUCGGAUGCAAAUGGGUAAUCAAUUUCCCUGGGCCAUUCGCAUUAUAUAAAGGAUUUACUGCAAAUACAGGCUGUUGGUAAGCUUAUGUGGCUUGCACUUACAACCGGUCCGAAACAAAAAUAAAGCAUCGUCAUAUCUAUGCUUCUGUCAAAUUGAUUUUUUAUCCUAUUUAAAAAGUGGUGGUAAUUUCGUUAUUAAAAUAAUAAAUCGUUUAAAAACCAUAAAGAACAAGGAGUAACGCUAUAGUCGAGUGCCUCGACUAUCAGAUAACCGCUACUCAGCUAAAGGGGCCAAGGGGAGAUGGGGAUAUGCAAUCAGCAAAGCGAGAUUGCAAUACGCCAGCUACCUGCGAUCUCAAUAUAUGGAUAUUUGAGCGGGCGACAGACUUAAGCGUAAUGGGUCAAUCGAUAGAUAUUGAUGAGAACAAUACAGUGUAGUUACUAGUAUUAAAACUGUAGGAGCCCCAGUUUUG